rnacentral:lncRNA from 1 species
UUUUAUUCAAAGUUAGGUUAAAAUACAGAUAAGGUAAAAAGCUCAUACCUUUCCUUUCUUUCUCAUAUGGGUUUGCUACCGGCACUAGAAUCGGAACAGAUUAAAGUGAUCGGCAUCUAACAGGUAAAAAACUUUAUUCAUUAUUCUUUUAUAAAAAGUAACAAAUUAAAGUGAUUGCUUGAUUUGUGUUUUUGAGAUUUUUAGGGUUCUUCUUUCUUGAUGUGUUAAAAUAAUCUAUAUGAGGUUUAU